CCGUGCUAGGUGGGAAGGUAGCGGUGUCCUGUAACCUGCAAUCCGCUCUAGCAGGACUGAAUUCCUUUCUGAGGCUGUUUGUAUGCAAGGUCUGCCUCAUGCACGUAGUGUUGACAUCUGGG
rnacentral:SRP_RNA from 1 species